rnacentral:rRNA from 1 species
GGAAGGUGCGAGCGUUGUCCGGAAUCACUGGGCGUAAAGGGCGCGUAGGCGGCUCGUUAAGUGGCUGGUGAAAUCCCGGGGCUCAACUCCGGGGCUGCCGGUCAGACUGGCGGGCUCGAGCACGGUAGAGGCGGAUGGAAUUCCCGGUGUAGCGGUGGAAUGCGUAGAGAUCGGGAAGAAUACCGGUGGCGAAGGCGUUCCGCUGGGCCGUUGCUGACGCUGAGGCGCGACAGCGUGGGGAGCAAACAGGAUUAGAUACCCUGGUAGUCCACGCCGUAAACGAUGGGCACUAGGCGUCGGGGGGAGCGACCCUCCCGGUGCCGUCGCUAACGCAGUAAGUGCCCCGCCUGGGGAGUACGGCCGCAAGGCUGAAACUCAAAGGAAUUGACGGGGGCCCGCACAAG